AGUGAACGCUGGCGGUAGGCCUAACACAUGCAAGUCGAACGGCAGCACAGUAAGAGCUUGCUCUUACGGGUGGCGAGUGGCGGACGGGUGAGGAAUACAUCGGAAUCUACUUUUUCGUGGGGGAUAACGUAGGGAAACUUACGCUAAUACCGCAUACGACCUACGGGUGAAAGCAGGGGAUCUUCGGACCUUGCGCGAUUGAAUGAGCCGAUGUCGGAUUAGCUAGUUGGCGGGGUAAAGGCCCACCAAGGCGACGAUCCGUAGCUGGUCUGAGAGGAUGAUCAGCCACACUGGAGCUGAGACGCGGUCCAGGCUCCUACGGGAGGCAGCAGUGGGGAAUAUUGGACAAUGGGCGCAAGCCUGAUCCAGCCAUACCGCGUGGGUGAAGAAGGCCUUCGGGUUGUAAAGCCCUUUUGUUGGGAAAGAAAAGCAGCAGGUUAAUACCCCGCUGUUCGGACGGUACCCAAAGAAUAAGCACCGGCUAACUUCGU
rnacentral:rRNA from 1 species